rnacentral:rRNA from 1 species
UAGGGAAUAUUGCACAAUGAGCGAAAGCUUGAUGCAGCAACGCCGCGUGCGCGAUGACGGCCUUCGGGUUGUAAAGCGCUUUUCGGGGAGAUGAGGAAGGACAGUAUCCCCGGAAUAAGUCUCGGCUAACUUCGUGCCAGCAGCCGCGGUAACACGUAGGAGGCAAGCGUUAUCCGAAUUUACUGGGCGUAAAGCGCGUGCAGGCGGUUCGGUAAGUUGGAUGUGAAAUCUCCCGGCUCAACUGGGAGGGGACGUUCAAUACUGUCGGACUUGAGGACGAUAGAGGGAGGUGGAACUCCCGGUGUAGUGGUGAAAUGCGUAGAUAUCGGGAGGAACACCAGUGUCGAAAGCGGCCUCCUGGAUCGUUCCUGACGCUGAGACGCGAAAGCUAGGGGAGCGAACGG